GCAUCUUUAGCUCAGUUGGUAAGAGCAUGGUGCUUAUAACGCCAAGGUUGCAGGUUCAAACCCCAUUUGGGACA